GACCACGCUACUAAUUAAAUUACUUUAAUUAAAAUUGGAUUAAAAUAUACCCCUCUACAAAAUCCUUGGGUGACGCCCGCGAAGAUCCAACUACGAUUUUUCGGUGCACAGGCGCGCCAAUAGAAAGAAAAUCGAUGAUUGUCGAUUUCUAGUUUAGUUGGUCACGAACUCACAAAGAGGCAACACAUCGUCAUUACUUAGGUGACGGAGUUUGGGCAAAAUUGGGAAAAUAUAUAACUAAAAGACCUCGAACAUCAGCCAAUAACCCAUACUAAUAAAAAUCAAGCAGUAGUUAUAUCUGGAGACUUAUUUACAAGAAAGGAAAAAGGUUAUAAUACCGCCGAUGUGUUGCUUUGCUCAAAUUCCGUCCCGUAGCUACUUGUCACAUAGACACUUAGCCUAGUCAAUGUAGAUAGAUUGUAUCAUCAUUUAAUGUGCCAUCAUAUAAAUAUGUGCCAGUUACUGUAAGCAGCUAGGGUAUGGGUUACCCCUAGAGUUACUUUUGAUUGGAUUGGAUAGUACCUAUUUCACAACAUCCAGGAUUGGAUUUAUCACCACAGCAGCCCACUAGUUUUUGCCGUGCCAAGAGGAAAUUCAUUCCUAUCUGGACCUUUUUAAAUAGGAACUGUGGUUAAGAUAAGUUGUUUAAUCUUAUUAUUUACAUAUUUUGGGUACUCUAUAGUUGCUUGCACUGUAAACUUCUUGUAUGCAUACAAUUGAGGUAAACUAGGUACAUAUUUCUUGAUAGAUAGGGUUUUAGGUCGUUGGUUUUUUUUUAAUUUAAUAGAAGUAGUAGUUUCCAAUAAAUAAAAUUAGGUCUUGUUCAAUAAUCAUUAUAAAUAAUAAUUGUAGCUUAAAAAUUUGAUAGGAAAGGGGUCGUUAAA
rnacentral:lncRNA from 1 species